GGCGGUUUCUAUAUCUACAAAACCCUCCCUCUCUAUCAGGUCAGGCCCCCAAUCCCCUAUUACCACAGCCAAUCAUGGCCACCAAUCACCACCACCAUCCAUCAUAUCAGCACACGCCUCCAUCACCGUCGUUAAUCAGGACUUUUUCUAUGUUGAUUCUCUAGCGUCCCCUUCGUAGAUAUAUAUGCUCAGUUUCUCAGGUGGUUCAUGGUUAUCAUGGAUUUGUAAACAUGUGGGAUGGAAAUGACAUUAUUUUAUGUGGUGCCAAUGAGUCAUACGGGUGUUAACACUUUGUAAGUUUUUAUUGAUGAUUUGCGUUCUGUGGCUGUCGUUGUUUGUUGGCAGUUUCAUCAAGCUACACAUUGGAAGAUGAAGAUCAACUAUUGGAUAACUUGUCAUCGCGGCAAUGCUUUGAAGCAUGAAAAUGAGAUUACAAUUUACAACAAGGGAGGUUGCUACUUAUGGAUUCUAUAUUGCACCUAUAUCGUUUGUCAGUUGUGACAGAGAUGCCAAAGGGAUAUGUCAUGACUCAUGAUUCUAAAACACAAGAUCCAAUUAAUAAAAGGUAUUUGUUUUCUUCAUCGAGGAGGUAUUGAGUAGAUACCAGGAAAUUGUCCCUCAUCUAAAGCUUGCAGGUCUGUGAUAUACCCUUUUGUUUUCUUCAUAUCACCACAAAUAUAUGGCGUUACAUUAGCAAUACAUAUUGCAUUACCAAUGUUGAUAUGGCGUUAUGGCUUAUAACUGAUGACACACACUGAAUACAGGUCAGGAGCGGUGUAGGUAGAGCAGGUAUUUACGUCUUUCUUUGUCUUCAACGGCAGAAAGGCUAGUUGUUCCAGUGACAUGGGAACUGUCCAUAUUUACAACUUGAAGUUUGGUUUUGGGCCAUUCUUUAACCAUAUCUGACCAAAAUAAUAGACCCCCAAGAGCCGUUUCACACCUAAUGUUCAUGAAAGGUACUCUAGAUCUUUCGUUCUUCUCUUUUUCUUGGCUUGGUCACACGAUAAAAAAAAUAGAAAGCUGAUUUAUGAGGAAGUGAAAUCUGUUGAUAAAUGUAGGAAAAUUUUUGUUAUACAUUGCUAUUAUAUAUAUGGGGUGUUUGAAUGUGCGUUUGAAAUUGACUGUGAUUUAGAAAUUUUUUGCAAAUUGUUAGCUAUAACAUAACGUACUGUUUGGCCUUUGGGGUGAGUGGUUGAAUGUGUUUGUGUUGCUUUAUUUAACUAUUGUUGACAUAUCUGCACUAAAUCGAUACAUAUUUACAAGUGGCCUAUCAAGUGAACCCAUGUCCUAUUGAUUGAAGGGUCACCUCAUAUACCACCAGUGAGAUUGGGUAAAUUAAAGGUUGCAAAAUGUGUGGGUUACGGCUGGGUAAUGGCAAAAUUGGAACUGGUCAAAAUUUUAACUUUUUUUUUCCAAUGUUGUUUAGGCCGGGUAGGGUUGUGACCAUGCUGACCAGCAAGGGACUAAUGACUAGGAUGAGGGAGUAAUGACUAGGCUGGUUGUGACCAGCCUAACCAGCAAAUCAGCAUCUUGCGGAUUACCUUUGUUAUAUGUGUGUGAAUCCCUCUACAUGGUAGUCCAUGUAUAGGCAACUUGAUCGGCUACUUUCUAAAAUGGCGACUUUAUAAAAUCCGUUUCCAUAGGGCAACUGGUCCAGAGUGCAGAGUGCGUAGUUGCCUAAUAUGUAUGUAAACUUUAUUUCUACUUCUGAUACGUGUGUGUUUGCUGAACAACUUGAAGGACCGUUUGCUAAGGCAGGUUCCACUAGCCAUGCUAUAUUGGUUGUUCAAUUUGCAAAGCUUAAUGACUAUGGAGGUACACUUAAAUUGGUAAUCAUGGUUUCUUGCUUUUCCUUA